rnacentral:lncRNA from 13 species
CCACUGUUCAAGUCUAGCUCAGUCUCAAGUCCAGCCCUCUCACGUCUCCAGUUGCCGGUUCAACGGGGCACCCGGACAAGUGCGCCCUGUGGGGAGCACUGGGUAGGGCCGGCCGCCGCCACCCCGGCUGCCGGCUUCGCCAGGCGUAAUAUCUGCCUGGCGUCCCGCGUCUCCUCUUCACUUGGGAAUUUCCCCGUUCUGUGAGCAACAAAGAUCAGUCUGGAAAUGCAGCUCAGACUCACCUCUCCGCAGACACAACGAGAACUCCAAUCCUGGGUUGUUCUCACAGCGCCAUCUUGAGUCCUCCCCCCAGGUCCAGAGGCCCAGAAAGACCGAAUUGUUUUGAAGGCCAGGGCCCUGCUUCCCUAUGCUGCCUCAGAACACUGCUCCCAGCAUCCAGGCUACUCUCACUACAGCCAUGGCUGAAAGGGGCCCAUGUGUGGCUCAGGCUUUCACUUUGGAGAAUGAAGUCAGAUGCCUUGGCAGCUUCCACGUGGUGGAAGAAUGAUGCUGUCAUAUUUCGGCUUCCGGCAAGGACUCAGAAAACUUACCAUCAUGGUGGAAGGUGAAGAAAAGCAGGCAUACCGCAUGGCUGGAGCAGGAACAAAAGGG